AAAGGUAGCGUAAUCAUUAGUUUUUUAAUUGAAAGCUUGAAUGAAUGGUUGGACGAGGUAAUAGCUGUCUUUAUUUAAUAUAUAUUAGAAUUUAACUUUUAAGUCAAAAGGCUUAAAUUUAAUUGAUAGACGAGAAGACCCUAUAGAUCUUUAUUUAUAAAGUUAUGAGUUGGAUUUGGAUUAAUUUAAAGUUUGUAAUUUUAUGAAUUUUAUUGGGGUAAUAUAAAGAUUAAAAAAAUUCUUUGAAUAGAUUGAACAAUGAUGAUUGACAAAUUGAUCCAUUAGUAUUGAUUAGAAGAUUAAGUUACCUUAGGGAUAACAGCGUAAUUUUUUUAAAGAGUUCAUAUCGAUAAAAAAGU
rnacentral:rRNA from 1 species